rnacentral:pre_miRNA from 1 species
UUAACUCAAAUUUGUAUGGAGUUGGAUCGUUUGACUACAGUUGCCGCUAGGGACGCUGUUCCAACUCUAUACAAAUAAGUUA